UGGGGAAUUUUGGACAAUGGGCGAAAGCCUGAUCCAGCAAUGCCGCGUGUGUGAAGAAGGCCUUCGGGUUGUAAAGCACUUUUGUCCGGAAAGAAAUCCUUGGCUCUAAUACAGUCGGGGGAUGACGGUACCGGAAGAAUAAGCACCGGCUAACUACGUGCCAGCAGCCGCGGUAAUACGUAGGGUGCAAGCGUUAAUCGGAAUUACUGGGCGUAAAGCGUGCGCAGGCGGUUUGCUAAGACCGAUGUGAAAUCCCCGGGCUCAACCUGGGAACUGCAUUGGUGACUGGCAGGCUAGAGUAUGGCAGAGGGGGGUAGAAUUCCACGUGUAGCAGUGAAAUGCGUAGAGAUGUGGAGGAAUACCGAUGGCGAAGGCAGCCCCCUGGGGCCAAUACUGACGCUCAUGCACGAAAGCGUGGGGAGCAAACAGGAUUAGAUACCCUGGUAGUCCACGCCCUAAAACGAUGUCAACUAGUUGUUGGGGAUUCAUUUCCUUAGUAACGUAGCUAACGCGUGAAGUUGACCGCCUGGGGGAGUACGGUCGCAAGAUUAAAACUCAAAUGAAUUGACGGGGUCAUAGCUGUUUCCU
rnacentral:rRNA from 1 species